UGGGGCGUAGCCAAGCGGUAAGGCAGCGGGUUUUGAUCCCGUCAUUCGGAGGUUCGAAUCCUUUCGUCCCAG
rnacentral:tRNA from 1 species